GCCCUUAUGAUGUAGCGGUAGCAUGAAAGACUCUUAAUCUUUUCGCCUGGGUUCGAUCCCCAGUAAGGGCACCA
rnacentral:tRNA from 1 species